UCACGGUGGUUUAGUGGUGAGGACGUUUGCCUCGCACCUCCCACAGGGUGGGGGUUCGAAUCCUGCCCUGUGUG